ACACGCGUGUCUUGGCCAACUACGUCUCCCGCUUUUUGCAAAAAAAAAAAAAUACGCUAACUUUUUAUUACGACUUGAUAACUUUAAGUUUGCGAGAACAGAUAAUGUAGCCAACGAAAAAAUAUUUUACUGAUACCUUUAUGGCAUUAUAUUUCAAAAAAUGUGAUAAUACUCGAAUUCUCUGGGCAGGCUUUUGAUACUUUUUGGUGUUCCAGAGCUAUUAUCUUGAAGAAUGAAGUUGACAAUAUACGUACAUCUCAGUGAAGUAAAUUUUAGUAAUCAUAAUAUUAUGAUACGAGUAUUACUGACCGAGAACAAAAAAAUAUCUCAUAAGCAAAAAUACUGUUUUCUCCACAGCACAAAAAAAAAGUUAUCUUGAGUCAAAAAAAUAUUUUAGAAGUUUUUUCGGGAACCAUGUCAAGAUUUUCUUGAACCAAUAAGAGAUAGUCCAUUUUUUAAAUUUUAACACCAAGCGCAAAUCCACCUAUUGAUCGAGGUGUUGUAUUCGAAUGAUGUUUUUGUAUGUUAAAAGUGUGUAAAGUGUAUAAUAAAACUUUUUUAAAUGUA